UCCUUCUUACCCCGUGCCCACUGCCGCCCGACCUCCUCCCCAUCGCGCCGCCGGCCGGCCUCCUCCCAGCGCGCCGCCGGCCGGCCUCGCCUCAAGCGCGCCGCCGCAACGGCCCUCGCCGCCACCAGCACCACCUCCUCAUCCUCGUGAGCCCAUGCCCGUCACUCCCCACGAACCCCGCCGCCUCCUUCCCUCCUACACCGGUGCCGACCUUACCUCGCGCCGACAACCACCCUUCCUCGCGCCGGCAGCUGCCCUCCCCCGCGCGCCGGCCUCCUCCACCCCCAUGCUUAGGACGCCUUCCUUCCUCCGCUCCGAUCGCCUUCCUUCCUCCGCUCCGGUCGCCUUCCUCCUCGCGCGCCGGCCUCCUCCCUACUCCGUGCUCUAUCUGCCUUUCUUCUCGCGCUCCGGCAGUCUUCCUCCCCAUGCUCCGGCCGCCUUCCUCCCCGCGCUCCAGCCUCCUUCCUCCCUGCAAUCAGUCUGCCUCCCUCCCCACGCUCCGUCCACCUUCCUCCCCGAGAUCCGUCCGCCUUCUCCCCUGAGAUCCCACGGCCGUACUGCCGCCGGCCAGCCCCUCCAUCUGUAAAUAAGGGCACUUGGCCGCCCUCCACGCCGGGGUGGCCCUGCUAGCCAUCAGCGGGGGACGAGGAGUAGCUGCCAUGGCGGGGGUGAAGACGAGUUCGUCCUACCUUACCUACAUUUGAAUUUGGACUUCAUCAAAUUGCGAGCAUGAACUGAAUUAUGAAAAAAUACAUUUUGCCGAUCUUCUUGCAGGUUCAGGAACAGCUUUGGCUUGAGGCUGUGCAAAGACCACCGCCCGUCCCUACCUUACCUACAGGCUCAUGGAGCUCAUGGAGCUCGACAUCUCCUCUGUGGCCUCCGUCUGCAAGUUCGCCGAUGACAUCCUCAUAAAAAAGAACAAUGUGUUACUACCAUGGGAGGCUCCCUGCUGGAUGUCGGCGCCGGAGGGGUAUCCCCGCAGCCAUAGACUUCUCUUCUCUCCUGCAAUGCAAGGUAUGGUACUCACACCAGUUCAAGUAGUGAUGUUGCAACAAGUACUGCUCCUCCCCCUGUCAAGCUUAGUGAGCCAAAAAAAGAGCAUGUUGAUGGAUGAUUGCUAGCUCGCUUCAUCAUCGGCAGAUUUUCCCGUCUACUAACUUGUGGGUACUGCCGGAGAUAAGUAGUAGGCGGCAAAGUGUUUUGAAGUAGCACCAAGACGGGGCAUAAAGCUGGCGAGCAGGUAUGAGCAGCGAGCUGCUACUGCACUUGUGCGGGUACUUCCGCGAAUGAAUCUGGCUAGUUAUAGCUAUUGGUGCUAAACUUGUGUGCGUGUGUUAUCUUUGGUAGCUAAUUUUUGCCGUGUGCAACUACUGAACCUGGUGUCCUGCUGCUAUUGAACUAUUUUGAUGCAAAUGUCGCUGAUGAACAUACUUUGUGUAGAAAAAGCUACAAAAAAUCACUUUUUAUGGUUGUAAAAAUUUCUAAACUUGCUCUGGUCUAGCAGUUCAAUAAAUAUUGAUGUUUGGUUAAUAUUACCAUGCUCUACCCAGCGCUUCCACGGGAUCCUUUGCAUGCAGCCGACGUCUCACCUCACGCCGCCGCACACCAUCUUCCUUGCUUGUCGGUGUCAUACAGGUUUCUUCGGCCGCCGCCUCGCCCUGACCCAACUACCUCGAAUUUGCGCUGGGACCGGCCUUCAUCGAAGUUUCUCCCAAUCCUUCGACCUCGUUGUGCCAUGCAGCAUGCUUCAGUUCAAGAAAAAUCUCAAUAAAAGUUCAGAGUAGUUCACACUUCAGUUAGCACCUGGCGUCGGUCGAGGCAACCAUCCCCACCUCCCCUGACCAGAUCCUCCAUGGCCCUCGGCCACGAGCUCGUCCACCAUGGUUACUCGCAGUCAUCAAAGUGGAGCACGAACAUCAGUCCAAGUAGAAUUGAAGCCACCAUCUUCACCAUUUUCUUAUCAUUCUCACAUUAUUUUCUUGGUGAAUUAGCAAUUACUGCUAUUGUAGAAAGGAGCUUGUUGGUGUUUCUGUUUCUUUUUGGUAUGUGUUUAUGCGCAUGUGAGGGCAGUGGACAUUUUGUCCUUCUGAUAAUCUCCUUUAAUAAUAUCACACACCUCCUCUUAAUGAGAAGAUGUGCAAAACUUUCCAUGACUCUUAAAAAGAGCCGUUUUGCAUAUGUAUAGUUUUGAUCUACUUAAAUAUUGAGCCUACCAUUUUUUAUGAGUACCAUGAGUAUAAUGAUGUUCUUUUCCUACCUGAGUCCGGUGAAGUACUAACAAUGAGUUUUUUGGUCAGCCUUCCAGAUCUAGAGUGGAAGCUUAUAUAUGUUGGAUCAGCUGAAGAUGAGAACUAUUAUCAGCAACUUGAGAGUGUGCUUGUUGGCCCUAUGAAUGUUGGGACAUACCGUUUUGUUCUGGAGGUAAAUAGGUUACUGAUCUACGACUUUGUGAUCUACAUCAUGAACUAUGUUAUGAAAAUGAUGUUUCACAACUGCGCAGAGAUCCGCCUGUUCAUAUUACAGUUGGGCAGCUGCUUUGCUCCUACCUUAGAACAUCAGUUUUC